UGUAUUGGUAGGAGGGAGCAACUGGAGUUUCGGAGACACUUACUGGCAUCAUGGAGGUGGUCCUCAUACCAACUUUGUAACUGACAUGGACUUAUGUCUGACCAGCAGAUGAGGAGGAGUGGUGACCUUCCCAAGACCACAGGGUUAAGAGUAAAGCUUACUCAGGCAGGUAAGUCAAAAGCCCCACUCCUGGGUACCAGAAGUUCCUAAGUCUUGUGACCUGACUCUAGUGUGGCCUCUCUCCUGUCCCUCCCCUCUAAGUGGCCUUGGGGAGGGCCCAGAUCUUGUCCUGCUUCCCUUCCAUCUUGAGUCCUUCGAAGGACCUGGAUGCUUCUGUGUUAGCAACACCUUCGCUUCUGCCUGGGUAUGAAGGAGUGGUUUCCGGCACUUUUCUCACAGUAGCUGCCUUAUCCAUGACGAAGUCCAAUGAUGAGAAGUGGACAUUUCUGACACUGAGGCACCCACUAGAAGAAUAACACCUUGUGAAACUGGAGUCCAGAACCCCCACCAGGAUCCUGGCACUGAUAGAAACAAGAAGCAGAGCAUUGCCAUAGAUCUGUCACCCACCUGGGUUACCUUUUUUUUUUUUUU